ensembl:snRNA U4 U4 spliceosomal RNA
AUCCUUUUGCAGUGGCAGUAUCGUAGCCUAUGAGGUUUAUCCGAGGCGUGAUUAUUGCAGUUGAAAACUUUACCCAAUUCCUGCCUUGAUGACUUGAAAUACAGUCAGCAGUGGCAAUUUUUGUUGGUCUCUGAGGAGA